rnacentral:lncRNA from 1 species
AAUUCAGUGUUUUGCUUUAGCAUUCUUUUUUAAAAGUGAAGGAAACAUUAAAAAAUAAUUAAGUUUAUUUCCAGGAGGCAGGUCUCUCCUUUGCAGAGACUUUGGGAGGGAGCACAAACAAACAAGAAGACAUACCAAACAUUCUUACAAAUUAUCUGAUGACAAAUGAAUUAUGUUUUAUAUAUAGAUUUAUGCCCAACUUCCUUAGAAAUGUUUUAGUGUGAAGACAAUGACCGUCCAAGAAACAUUUGAGCCUGAGCUCUAGGAAGUGACAAUUUAAGAGACCAAUGAAAGGAAAAGAAUAAAAAACAGAGAUGUUUUGUUUCUGUUGGGAUUGACCAAAUUGGGAAUGAGUUCCCUGGUGUCACAGACACUACCUUCUGAGAAUAGUAAACCACAAUACAGUAUGUGAAGUCCCCAUCCUUCCCCAAGCCUGCCUAGACCAGGGGAUGGACAGGCUCACUUCUGAACAUCCUUUAUCAAUCGGAGAGCCUUGGAGGUAGAAUUUGAAUUGCCCCAUAAUUUUGAAAUGUAUCGUUUCAUACUGAGAUUGAGCCCUUCUGGUUGAAAGGAGGAGACAUUCAUUGGAAUGUUUCAGAUGUAGAAUAAUGAAGUUUUAAGAUAUCCACUGAAUGCAAUGGGCUAAUAUGCUUCUUAAUUGAGUCAAUAACAGAAUUGUUAUGAACAUGCAAUCAUUUUCCAAUUCUCAGCCUUCCGAAAUAAACAUCUGGACAGGAUUAUAAUUGUGAGUGGCGACUGGAUCCCAUAUUGCUGUUUACUGAUGAUGUGCUUCAGGUUCCAGACUCAACAGCACUGCCUUCUCCGUCCCGUGCCGUCUAUCCUCAGACAUCAGCAUCUUUUUCAUCUCCAUGGAUCCAGUUACCUGUGUGGCCCAUGAGAUACUCCUGAAUCAUCAUGGUAAGUUCUCUUUUAGGCUUUGACAUGUAUUUGACAACUUAUAAGUGGAACUAAGAGCUUGGCAAGUGGGUCAGAGUUUUCGGCAGUCUCAAG